rnacentral:rRNA from 1 species
CGGAGGGUGCAAACGUUGUCCGGAAUCACUGGGCGUAAAGCGCAUGUAGGUGGUUUGGUAAGUGGGUGAUUAAAGACCGAUGCUUAACGUCGGGACUGUUGCCUAUACUGCCUGACUUGAGGAUAACAGGGGUAAGCGGAACUUUAGGUGUAGGAGUGAAAUCCGUAGAUAUCUAAAGGAACACCAAUGGCGAAGGCAGCUUACUGGGUUAUUUCUGACACUGAGAUGCGAAAGCGUGGGGAGCAAACGGGAUUAGAUACCCCGGUAGUCCACGCUGUAAACGAUGCCAACUAGGUCUUGGGGAGUAUCGACCCUCCUUUGGACCGAAGCUAACGCGUUAAGUUGGCCGCCUGGGGAGUACGAGCGCAAGCUUA